UACGUAGGGGGCAAGCGUUGUCCGGAUUUAUUGGGCGUAAAGAGCGUGUAGGCGGUUUGGUAGGUCCGUUGUGAAAACUCGAGGCUCAACCUCGAGACGCCGAUGGAAACCAUCAGACUAGAGUCCGGAAGAGGAGUGUGGAAUUCCCGGUGUAGCGGUGAAAUGCGCAGAUAUCGGGAGGAACACCCGUGGCGAAGGCGGCACUCUGGGACGGUACUGACGCUGAGACGCGAAAGCGUGGGGAGCAAACAGG
rnacentral:rRNA from 1 species